UACGAAGGGGGCUAGCGUUGCUCGGAAUCACUGGGCGUAAAGGGUGCGUAGGCGGGUCUUUAAGUCAGGGGUGAAAUCCUGGAGCUCAACUCCAGAACUGCCUUUGAUACUGAGGAUCUUGAGUCCGAUAGAGGUGGGUGGAAUUCCUAGUGUAGAGGUGAAAUUCGUAGAUAUUAGGAAGAACACCAGUGGCGAAGGCGGCUUACUGGUCCGGAACUGACGCUGAGGUGCGAAAGCGUGGGGAGCAAACAGG
rnacentral:rRNA from 1 species